GUUGCCACCCCACAGAGACCAAAUGCUUUGUUGCCUCUAAACCAGGAAUAUGUCGUGUGUGGUGCGGGCUCUUCAGUCUUUCAGGGACUCUUCCCUUUCACAGGGAGUGUGAGGUGAGUCAAAGGAUGAGAUUCAAAUAUUAAAUGCCAGGCAAGGGAGUCUCCCGUAUCCUCGUGUUACCUUUGCUGCCUUCUGAAAUCAACAUGUUCCCCAGCCAAGGAACGUGCAAAUUCUUUCGGCUAUCACUCACUUUUGGAUGAAUCUCAACUGCGCAUAUAUACAACAGUCAGUUUCCUCGGUGUUUGAAUGAACCAGAAGGGCUUUGUCUGUUAUAGAUGGGAGCUUUCAAUCCCAUUUAUGGUACGUUAUAUCAGCCUGAAAUAGCAUCUGUGAGGUCCUUAAACUGAACCGCCAUCAGAUUUACAGCCACCACAAAGGAGUUAGCAGGCUGGCUCCAGAGAGCUAUGAGCAGUAACCAUAUUCUCUUGAAAUAUUUGCUUUCUCUGCAAAGUUGACCUGAGGAAGAAUGUGUUGUUCAUUUGAAGAUCUCUGUUUGUUCAUUUAUUCAGAGAACGUCUUCGUUGACAGCCACUGUAAAGAGAUGAGCUUCAGAGCUGAGAGCCAAAGACAUGCUUCUUGUCAUUGCAGAGCUGGUGACAGCUGCUCAGACAGGGAGCUUCCCGCGGUACGUCCACACAUCUGCAAGUACUUUUAAAUGUCUAUAUAGGUACUCCCUUUUCAGUCCCUGGGGCAUGAGUCAAACAGAGGAGAUGAGAUGAAGAUUUUUGAGCUCUACAGUUAACAGCUGGUUCCCUGAGCAGCAGAAGCAAUUGAGCCUACGGAUCUAUGCCAUAUGUGGAUUCUUUGCUAAGGAGUGAAUUCGCUCUCCAGUCCUUUGCUUACAGAUGGCCUUACCAAGGUAUUUCUUUCUAACAAAACUUGCUGGAAUCUAGUAUCUUUAAGACCUUUCCACCCCCCUUCUUCCCCUCUAGUUUGAGGCAGCGAAGUUGGUGAGGGAGUCCUUAAGUUAUCAGAGGGUGGGAAAGAUGGAUGAUAGGGAAAAGCUGUCAAACAGAUGAAAGCAGAUAAUGCCAUUGUGUAUAACAAGAAACCUCUUGGGAUU
rnacentral:lncRNA from 1 species